AUGCCCCCUACUACCCUCCCGCAACCGCCCACCGCCGCCGCGGCCCUCGUCCGCCACUACAUCGGCCUCCUCUCAGCCGCCGGCGUCUCCUCCCUCCGCACCCUCCUCCCUAUCCACGCCCGCGCCGUCCUCCACGGCGUCGCCGCCAACCCAGCCUUCGCCACCAGGCUCCUCGCCGCGGCCGCCCCGCGCUCCCUCGCGUACGCCCGCAGGGUGUUCGACGCCGCGCCGCACCGCGAUGCCUACAUGUGGAACACCCUCCUCCGCGCCCACGCCCACUCCCACUCCUCCGUCCCGGCCAACUCCCCCGCUGCGGACGCGCUCCAGCUCUACAAGCGGAUGCGCGCCGCGGGCGUCGCACCGGACUGCUACACAUACCCGAUCGUGCUCCCGGCGUGCGCGGCGGCGCGCGCCCCGCGGCUCGGGCGGGCCGCGCACAGGGACGCGGUGAGGUUCGCGCUCGCCGGCGACGGCUUCGUGCACAGCGCGCUCAUCGCCAUGUACUGCCAGGAGGGGGAGGUGGCGGACGCGGAGCAGGUGUUCUUGGCAGCCGCCGCCGGUGCCCGCACGGUCGUCUCGUGGACGGCCAUGGUCGCGGGCUACGCGCAGAACUGCUUGUUCGGUCAGGCGGCUGCGGUGUUCGGCUCGAUGGUUGACCAGGGCGUGCUCCCAAAUGAGAUCACUCUGAUCAGUUUCCUGCCGUGUCUGCAGGGACAGGAAUGUCUCGCUGCCGGGGAGAUGGUUCAUGGGUUCGUGAUCAAGCUGGGGUUCGAUGCGAAUCUGCCGCUGGUGAACGCGCUCAUCGCCAUGUAUGGCAAGUGCGGGAGCAUCGCGUCGGCAAAAGAGUUGUUUGAUGGAAUGGCUGCGCGAACCGUGGUGUCCUGGAACACGAUGGUUGCCAUGUAUGAGCAGAAUGGCGAUGGGGUUCGGGCGAUCAAGUUCUUCCACAGGAUGCUUAGUGAGAAGGUGGGGUUUGACGCUGUCACUCUGGUCAGUGUGCUUUCAGCUUGCACACGCCAGGGAGCCCUUGAGACAGGGAAGUGGGUGCACGAGCUCGCUAGGAGUCAUGGGCUCGAGACUGAUGCGAGGAUCGGCAAUGUUCUUGUGGAUAUGUACGCAAAAUGUGGCGAGAUUGUUUACGCAAGACAGGCUUUUGAAGGUUUGCGCGAGCCUGGUGUUGUGUCAUGGAGCGCCAUGAUCAGUGCAUAUGCCAACCAUGUGGGAUGA
rnacentral:rRNA from 1 species